rnacentral:rRNA from 1 species
UUUUUGAAGGGUUUGAUCUUGGCUCAGAACGAACGCUGGCGGCGUGGAUUAGGCAUGCAAGUCGAACGAGGAUAUAUCCUUCGGGAUAUAAGCCGAGUGGCACAAGGGUGAGCAAUGCAUAGAUUACCUACCUUUAGGAUAAGGGCAACUUUGUGAAAACGGAGCUAAUACUUAAUAAUACAAAAGAAAAUAAUUUUCUUUUGUCAAAGGGAGGGUAGCAAUACCUUUCGCCUAGAGAGGGGUUUAUGUCCUAUCAGCUUGUUGGUGGGGUAAUAGCCUACCAAGGCGAAGACGGGUAGCCGGUUUAAGAGGAUGGUCGGCCACACUGGGACUGAGACACUGCCCAGACUUCUACGGAAGGCUGCAGUCGAGAAUCUUUCGCAAUGCCCGAAAGGGUGACGAAGCGACGCCGCGUGGGUGAAGAAGGCCUUCGGGUUGUAAAGCCCUGUCAGGAGUUAUGAAAUGUAAGUGCGCUAAUAUCGUGCUUAUUUGACAAAGGCUCCAAAGGAAGCCACGGCUAACUCUGUGCCAGCAGCCGCGGUAAUACAGAGGUGGCGAGCGUUGUUCGGAAUUAUUGGGCGUAAAGAGCACGUAGGUGGGUUUGCAAGUCAGAUGUGAAAGCCUUCUGUUCAACGGAAGAAUUGCAUCUGAAACUGCUAAUCUUGAGUAUAGGAGGGGAGAAUGGAACUUCUGGUGGAGCGGUGAAAUGCGUAGAUAUCAGAAGGAACGCCGGCGGCGAAAGCGAUUCUCUGGCCUAUUACUGACACUCAGUGUGCGAAAGCUAGGGGAGCAAACGGGAUUAGAUACCCCGGUAGUCCUAGCCGUAAACGAUGGGCACUAAGUAGAGGGAAUUACCUAUAUUCUCUCUGCCGUAGCUAACGCAUUAAGUGCCCCGCCUGGGGAGUACGGCCGCAAGGCUAAAACUCAAAAGAAUUGACGGGGGCUCGCACAAGCGGUGGAGCAUGUGGCUUAAUUCGAUGCAACGCGAAAAACCUUACCGGGGCUUGACAUGAUAGAAGUAGGAACCUGAAAGGGGGACGAACGGUAUCCAGUCCGUAGCUAUUACAGGUGUUGCAUGGCUGUCGUCAGCUCGUGUCGUGAGACGUUGGGUUAAGUCCCCUAACGAGCGAAACCCUUGUUUUUAGUUACCAGCGGGUUAUGCCGGGUACUCUAGAAAGACUGCCGUCGUCAAGACGGAGGAAGGUGGGGAUGACGUCAAGUCAUCAUGGCCCUUAUGCCCCGGGCUGCACACGUGCUACAAUGGUCGGUACAGACGGAAGCGAAGCCGAGAGGUGAAGCGAAUCCUAAAAAGCCGAUCUCAGUUCGGAUUGGAGGCUGAAAUUCGCCUCCAUGAAGUUGGAAUCGCUAGUAAUCGCGUAUCAGCUACGACGCGGUGAAUGUGUUCCUGAGCCUUGUACACACCGCCCGUCAAGUCAUGGAAGCCGGUAGCGCCCGAAGUCGCCCUGCUUCAGGGGUGCCGAAGGUGAAUUUGGUAAUUGGGAUGAAGUCGUAACAAGGUAGCCGUAGGGGAACCUGCGGCUGGAUCACCUCCUUU